rnacentral:rRNA from 1 species
GACGAACCGUGCGAACGUUGUUCGGAAUCACUGGGCAUAAAGGGCGCGUAGGCGGCUUUUCAAGUCAGGGGUGAAAUCCGGCAGCUCAACUGUCGAAGUGCCCUUGAUACUGAUGAGCUCGAGGGAGGUAGGGGUCUGUGGAACUUCCGGUGGAGCGGUGAAAUGCGUUGAUAUCGGAAGGAACGCCGGGUGGCGAAAGCGACGGACUGGACCUCUUCUGACGCUGAGGCGCGAAAGCCAGGGGAGCAAACGGG